rnacentral:misc_RNA from 1 species
CUUGGAUUAGCGGGACGGUCGAUGCUCUUCUUUCCGGCGGCCGGCGUCCAUUUUCCCCCCUGUUAGCAUCAUCGUUCUUGGCGCGUUUCUUCGUUUUAUCGUAAUUUUCCGACUCAAAAAACUGACGUAUCUUUUAAGAUGGAUGGACUGCCACCGGGUAGAGGUGGAUUCCGAGGCCGCGGCGGACCUGGUGGACCGAUGAGAGGACGCGGCGGGUUUGGGGACAGAGGAAGGGGAGGCCCGCCCAGGGGUGGAAUGAUGCGAGGUCGCGGAGGCCCAGGUAUGGGCAUGCGAGGAGGUCCUCCAGGAAUGAGAGGUCGAGGAGGUCCACCUGGUAGAGGCGGACGUGGGGGACAUUUUCCUCCUGGUCCACCGGAGCCAGGAUUGGGCGGACCCGGUGGUCCACCACCCCCUGGAAUGGGUGGUCCAAUGAGAGGUGGCAGUAGAGGAGCUCCCGGCGGUGGUUUCCGUGGCAGAGGACGAGGCGACUUUGGCAGAGGGGACAGUCGUGGUGGCGGUUUUCGUGGGCGUGGCGCUGGAAUGGAUCGAGGCAGAGGCGUCGGAGCAUUCCCAAGGGGUGGCGGACCUCCGAGAGGCGGUGGACCACCAAGAGGAGCAAUGGGCAGAGGUGCCGGUGGUUUUGUCGAUCGCGGAGGGCGUGGAGCCGGCGCUGGAAGAGGAGCAGGUCCAAUAAAACGCGGAGGUGGCCCGUUGGGCGCUGGCGGACCUCCGAAGAGACCGCGUUUCGAACCUCCGCCACCACAACCUGCUAAUGGCUACGGAGGAGCACAACCGCCAGCUCAAGGAUACGGAGCCCCGGGCAACGGCUACGGAGGUGGUCCACCCCCGCAACCGCCAGUUGGUAGCGGGCCUGGUUACGGUGGUGGAAAUGGCGGCUACGGCGGCCCGCCUCAAGGGGGAUAUCCACAAACGGCAUAUCAAGGAUACGAAAACUAUCAGGCACCUCCUGAUUAUUCACAAACUGCUGGAUACGCGGCUCCUGUACCGCCUGACAACAGAUACGGAGGUGCGCCACCAGUACCAACAGCUGGAGGAUUCAAUGCAGGCGAUCCUUACGGUUACGGUAAAGCACCACCGUCAGCUAAUUAUCAACAAGAGGCUGUCCCGGCACCAGUUGCUGCCAGUGGGGGCGGGGGUGGUUACGCUCCGGCUAACCCUUACGAAGAUCAAUCCUGUAAUCCCACUGGAAUGAUGGGCAGGGGUGGUUAUUCGACGCAAGGUUAUGACUAUCCAAGUCAAGACGGUGGAUAUGGCAAGCAGGAUUACGGUAAGUACCAGACGCCUCAGAACGAAUUUUAUUAAACGGAAAAAGCAAAGAGAGAACAAAGGAACAGAUGAAAGAAAGGAGAACAAAAUGAAUGAAAAGGGGGAGGUUUAUUGAUGGCAAAAUACACAUGCCCUUAGGACGAGGUCAAAAAGCAUUACCGAUAAAGCUACCUCAAUGAAAAUUAGUGAGAAUUCAAGGGAAGCCUGCGAGCGACAAAAAAAUGAAAAGAGUGGUGUGAGAUUGAGACGAAAACGUGUCCCGAACGAAAUAGGAAACCGUAGGGCACAGGCUUUUUUUUUUAUUUUCCUUUCCAAUAAACUUUUACAACUCAUUUUGUUGAAUUACUCCUCCCGAGUAAUGGCAAAAAUCUUAUAAACGUAGAUUUUCUCCCCUCCCUUCUAACCGAAAAAUACUUGUUUAAAUAUCCUUAGAAGCGCAAGUAGUAGCUUGACGAAACAAAUGAUGCGUCACAUCACGAAAACGGAAAUUUCAAGAGUCAUUGUAUGAAGAGUGGAUAAGCGGUACAUGUGCAUAAAAAACGUUGAGACAGGGGGAGGAAAAGCCAAGAUAAAAAACUAUCGAUAAAUGUUAUUUUUAAUAACACACGAACCCAUCCAAACACACACACAUACACACACACACUCACAUCUAUGCUUAGCAAAAAAAGGAAAACAACUAAAGGUUGAAACAAAUGCGAGACUAUCCGAGAGAAUGACUGGAUAUGUGAUGGUUGUUCGUAAAUGGCAGUGCUGGUUAUAAGAACACCCAGUUUCAGCUACAUUAUAAAUUAUUCUUACAAAAGUAUAUCUUUCAAUUAUAUUAUUGUAUAUAUAUGAUAUAUGUAAAGUAUAUACACUAUCUCGAAAUUUAGUUGUACAAAUUAAAUUUCUUGUCGCGUUACAAAGUUCAAGGACUAUUGUACGUUUGUUUGAAAUGAAAAGGCAUCGAAAACGAGGUGUUAUUGAAGCUCGUAUCGCUGGAAAGCAAAGUUUAUGUUUAUUCAAUUAUUUUAUCAUCUCUGUACAAGUUAGAAAUUAACAAGUUUGUCCAGUCGAUUAAAGAAAGAUUUCGAAGAAACGUUUAGAUUGUUGAAGUUUUGUAGUCGUAGUUGAGACGACAACCUUGUGGGGCAAUAUUUAAAAAAAAAAAAAAAAAAAAAAAACAUAUUACGAGGCACCGAAAGGGAUACCGAGCUUCAAAACAUAUUGGCCGACGAAAUGAACGAAUUAGCGUACCGAAGCGAUUCCACCACACUCGUAAACGUCUAAACUUUGUCACGCACCAGAAAAAGCACUCGCUUACGGUAUUCUCUAAUAACAUUAUAACAUAAGAAACGGAAAUGAGAGGUGGAAUUAAAACGAAACACUCAAUUUAAUCACCAAAAACGUAUACAGAUGGCAGCAGAGGGGAGGGAGGGGGAGAGGGGGAGCUUGAAAAUGAAAACCAGAACCAAAAAAAAGAUCCGAGAUGUGUCUCGCUAUAAUCGGUUAUUACUAAGUUUAAGUUGGCCUCGGUGUACAGUCACUCAGAUCAGAAGAAGAAGAGGAGGAAGAAGAAGAAGAAGAAAAAAAAUCCAGAAACUUUUAAUUAUAGUACAAUUUCUUUCUAGAAACGUAAUUUUGUCACUGUUAUAUCGUAACUGAACACAACAAUUGUUUAAGCUCAUCUGCGUGUUACGUGUAGGUAAUUUGAAACGAUCGUAGCUAUUGUAACGAUCUUUUUUGUUUGUUUUGCGUAACGAGAGACUCGAGUUAUUUUUCCUUAUUAAUUGUCCUCUUGAUCGAAAAGUGAAGGUAUGAAAACGGAAACAAUAAAUCAAUGCACAUGGAGACUAAACUGAAUCAAAACCACCGUGAUGGAGCGUUUUAUAAAAUUUAAGAGCCGAAAAUUCGUAGUUUUGCAUUAGGAUACGCGAGCGUGAAUUCGCAAAAAACAAACAAAAACAACUACAACUAAAACAAAUAUGAAAUUCUUCGUCUUAGAAUGUUGCUCCGGCAUGAAAUGUUCAAAUAGAUAAAAAUAAUAAGCAGCAAAAAGAAAAAUAUGUCUUAACGGAUUUAGAUACAAAUUUUUUUAUAAGUCAAAGACGACUACACGAAUUUAGGUCCACACGUAUGUAUAUAUAUGUUUAAAUAUAUCUACAUAUAUCUGUUUAUGACAUACCACAUGGUCGAGGAAAGAGAAGAAAAACGAACGAUUGUGCAUUUGCAGUGCCGAUAGCAGUUGUGAUUAUUUUCUUUUUACCCUUUGGUUGUACGAAGAAACGAGAAAUAAUGCAAUGAAAUAAAAAAGAAAGAAUAAUUGAAAAAAAAAUUGACGUUAAAGGACGCAGUAAAUACGAACGAAUGACAAAAAUAUUUUCCUCAAUUUAUUAAUCAAUAUUAUUAUUUCGUUUUUUAUAUUUAACUCAAAAAUAAGAAUAAUGAAUAUUUAAGGAUGUAGGACGAAAAAAGGAGCAACAGAAACCGAUUGUCAUCUUUUUUUAAUAGUUGAUAGUGUAAGCAAUAGCGAAAUCGAAGUCAAAGUUGCGACACAAAGUAUGAAGAAAGUGAGAUUUAAAAAUCUUCCUUGCACGAUGAUGAGAUGAAAAAAAAGAACGACAACAAAAUUAUAUGGAAUACUUUUUCUCACAUUUAUUACUUCCUCAACCUUCUGUACAAGAGAGUGCAUAUGAGUAAAAAAUGAAAGACUCAAUAAACCAGCAACUGCCCUAGGAUACUGGCACAACCAAUAACGACGUGAUUAACGAGACAACGUGAUUAUCCUCUGGCUCUCUGCUUGGGAUAUCUCUUUUAACAGAAAGAGGGGGAGAGAAAGAGAACAAAAAUGAAAUGAAAAGAAAAGAGAGUGACUUAAACGUAACGAUACAACCAACGUAGGUAUCGAUACUCUAUCGACGAAGUAAUACAAACUCUUUGCGUUGAAUUAACAAACAACAACAAAAAAAAGAAACGAAACGAAAAUAUACAAAGCAAAUGAAACGAAUAAAGACAAAUGCUCGAGUAGAACCUCGGUCCAAGCUCAGGCUGAUCAUCUCGCAUCCAUUCUGAACCGUUAAAAGGAAGUCCUACUGCACUUGACCACAUGACUGGCAAUCGAAGAAAAUCGUUUGUGCUCCCGAGAACUCGGAACACGAUCACGAGUCCAAGCCAUCGAUAUAUAAUGACUGGCUUCUCGUUCAAGACCUUUGGACUUGGUUUUGGUCAUCCUCUUCUCAGUCCAAGAUCCAUAUAAAAAGGUAGAACUUUUCGACUCAGCCACAUGUAAUAAAUCGCAUUUUUGUUGCUGUCUUUCGACAAAUAAACGAUGUUACACUGUU